UACGUAGGUGACAAGCGUUAUCCGGAUUUAUUGGGCGUAAAGCGCACGCAGGCGGCUGAUUAAGUCUGACGUGAAAUCUCUCGGCUUAACCGGGAGCGGUCGUUGGAAACUAAUUGGCUUGAGGCGAUGAGAGGGGUGUGGAAUUCCCGGUGUAGUGGUGGAAUGCGUAGAUAUCGGGGGGAACACCAGUGGCGAAGGCGACUUCCUGGCCUGUUCUUGACGCUGAGGCGCGAAAGCUAGGGGAGCAAACGGG
rnacentral:rRNA from 1 species